rnacentral:lncRNA from 1 species
CAUAUGACCUAAAAUUGUGUCUGUGCGACAAUAAACCCGACAAAAUAAAUAAAUAAUUUAAAUUAGAAUCAUCCAGUUUUGGUGUCAUAUGAGAAUGUGUGGUCAUGACCCCAGUGGGGCUCAAACCCGUAACCCUGGAUUUAGUGGCUAACACCUUAACCACAAGACCACCACUCCCUUUGUGAUUUCUUUGAUAUAUUAUAUGUCGGUAAAUUAUUUGUUUCAUCAUGGAAAAUGUUGUGAAAAUUAUCAGGGAAUUGUGUAUACUGUAAAAGCAUUAUUAUUUGUGAGGGACCUGAUUUUCAUGGUUGUUGGCCCAGUCUGCAAAAACAAAUCCCAAAUAAGAUAUGAACAUUCCAUUUAAUUUAAUGCUGUUACAGUUUAGAAUCCCAAGUUUUCAUUUUCAAUAGAAAUGAUUUUUAUUUUUUGGAAACCAUGGUAUUUUUUUCAUUCAAAAAUAGAUAUUUUACAGUAGCUGUUUUAGUUGUUAGCCUCCUGUAGAAAUUUUAAUGAAUUGUUAAAAUUCUUUUUUGUUCUUAAGGCUGCAUAAUUAUUGAAAUUGUUUCAUGUUUUUGAUUAAGUGAAAUAAAUGAAAAAGCAAUUUUUAUUCCAAAUCAAAUAUAGAAGUGAAAUAAAUAUUGUUUUCCCAAUUUUUAAGCCUGUUAUGCAUGAGUAUUAUUUAUUGCUUACUAUUUAUGAUUUGAUCUACGAGAUCUGUAGUAAAGACCUUUUUCAUGUUUUUUGGCUUUAUUUAAAUACUUGUUCAAAUGAAGUUGUUCCAGUUAUUAAAUGAUAUCUAGUCUGUUUAGAUAUGUUAAAGUUAAAAUUAGCAAGUUUGGCAUUGUUUUGUCAAAUACUUUCCAACAUACAUAUUUGUAUUUUUAUAUAUAUCUUUUCCUUCCUGAAGUGAAAAGUUAUAAUUAUCUAGUGUGUAUGUGUAGCAUGCAUCCAGGUUCAUGUCAAUUUUUGUAUGUUUAAUUGUUAUGAAAAUUCUCUCAUUCAUAAGCAUCUGUAGAGUGUAGACUAUAUAAACAGGGAUGUGCAGUCAGUUUUAGUUAUAACUCUUAGUAGGGUUAUAAACUGGGAAACUUUAUACUGCAAUAGCCACAUGGUGACAAAAUGGUGUAGAAAAGAAGGAAUUUUGCUGUACUUUAUUUUAUUCUCAUGAGUUUUUAAAUUUCAGAAACAUUGAUAAAAUUCUGCAUGCCGAUGAUGCCUUAUUAAGGUUUAUUAAAUUUACACAGUGUCUUGGUUUUACAAACAUAUCACAUUCCAUUCUUUUCUGUGAUAUAAGUUUGUAUCUUUGUCAAUAGAAAUUGUAGUACAUAAUUUUUGAAGUUAAUACAUUUUUAGUUUGAUUAUUAGAAGAAUAGUGAGAGCUGCUGCUCCAGUCAGCGUCACAUCAGGUUGUUUAUGACAAAUUCUAUUGAAUCAGUUACAUAAGUCCUGACAAGUUAUUGCCCUUGUUUUAAUUGAGAAAUGUUUUAACAGUUGAGUGUGCUGUCUUACAGACAGCCGUUGUUCAGAUAUGGUUUUAAUUGCUAAUUUUUUUUUUUUACAGACUUAGAUACUAUUUGGCAAAUAAUAAAGUAAGUGAAAUGCUAAAUUCGAUAUUCUUCAUCAUUUCAGAAGAGUCUUACAUGCUUUACUGCUUUCAAAGCAUUGUUUCAAUAAUUGAGCCAU